rnacentral:rRNA from 1 species
UACGUAGGGGGCAAGCGUUGUCCGGAAUCAUUGGGCGUAAAGCGCGUGUAGGCGGUCCGGUAAGUCGGCUGUGAAAGUCCAGGGCUCAACCCUGGGAUGCCGGUCGAUACUGCCGGACUAGAGUUCGGAAGAGGCGAGUGGAAUUCCCGGUGUAGCGGUGAAAUGCGCAGAUAUCGGGAGGAACACCAAUGGCGAAGGCAGCUCGCUGGGACGGUACUGACGC